UACGUAGGGGGCUAGCGUUGCUCGGAAUCACUGGGCGUAAAGGGUGCGUAGGCGGGUUUUUAAGUCAGGGGUGAAAUCCUGGAGCUCAACUCCAGAACUGCCUUUGAUACUGAAGAUCUUGAGUACGGGAGAGGUGAGUGGAACUGCGAGUGUAGAGGUGAAAUUCGUAGAUAUUCGCAAGAACACCAGUGGCGAAGGCGGACUCACUGGCCCGUAACUGACGCUGAGGCACGAAAGCGUGGGGAGCAAACAGG
rnacentral:rRNA from 1 species